rnacentral:miRNA from 25 species
UGAUUGUCCAAACGCAAUUCU